UUUCCUUUUUUCUAAGACGGGCAGGACCGCGAGUAUGCGGCAUGCUCGCCAUCACAUUUAACACUGUGUGGAGUGUUCUGGCACGUCUCGGAGGCAUGUUCAUUG
rnacentral:lncRNA from 1 species